UUUUUUUUGAUAAUUGAGUUUUCUAUAUAAGUAAUAAAAGAGCUAAAGAUUUGGUUGUUCUCCACAUGAUUUGGUCAUUCUGCACGUGACCCUCCCUUUUUGUUUGUUUAGCAGAUUGCGUGGGUCAUUAGAUUUCUCCAUCUAUUCCAUUUUCUCUGUUUUUUUUUCUCUGUAUUCUCUCUCUAUUCCUCUAGGGUUAGAUAAAUCUUCCAGACUCUCUCUGUUUGCCCCUUCUCCACUACCGCACGUCUCCCUCUCCUUUAUCAGUUUUUUCUUCUCCUCUUAUACACCCAGCAGCUCUGAGAUUCCCUUUCCUUCUUCCUUCCAUCUAUUUCAAGUUCAUCGUGGCUAGAUCCCCUCCCAGCCCGUGGGUUCACUUCAACCCCCCCGCAAGAUCCUUGCCAUCAUCAGCAUCUCUCAUUCCUCCAUGUUUCUGUUUUUUACAAUUUCUUCUAUUUUUUUUUUGUUUUUCCCUUUUUUCGUUUUUUCAUCCGUUUGUUCCUCCUCCGCCAUCGUGUCGUCUCCCUCUUCUCUAUUAGCUCUUUCUACACCCAACAUGAUAAGUUUCCCUUCUCCCACCAGUACUAUCGUUUUUUAUUUUUUAUUUUUUUAUCUUUUUAACUAACCAUAGCUGCAUGUUGUUUGCAGAUGUACCUCUUGGAUAUCUGCAUAUUUUACACAGUUAUAUCAGCUGUGUUGGGAUUUUUGCUUGGAGGUAAGUACUUGUUUAUUUUGAUUGUAUACUGUGGAUUGUACCUUUAGAUGAUACUUUACAAAUAGCUUCUUUAAUUCAACUAUUUCUUGAUGCUAUUCAAAUUCGACCUUUGGAUGUUGUUCAUGCACUUUUCGAGGGGUCCUUGAUGACGUAUCUUUUUCCUUUUUUGCAUUUGUUGGCUAGCAAUAUGGUUAGAAUAGUGUUGGGAACUUGGACUAAUUUACUGAUUUUUUACAACUUGGCUUGUUACAUUUGGUGGUUUUUUCUUGGUUUCCUCUUCUUUUCUCAUUUAUGAUGUUUUUUUUUGUUUUUACACAAUUGGUUUCUUUUAUGAAUUGUUAGUUUUUAUGUGCUACUAUUGUAUUGUUUUAUGGCAUGAUUGUUCUCCUAUUGGUUAAGUACACGGUUAGGGUGAUAAAUAAAAAAAUAGAGUUUGUUCCUAAUUGUGCGGCAUUUGAUAGUAGAUCUGUGGUUUACUGGUUAGCUAAGUUAAUCAAGAAAUGUUUGGAUACUAAGCCUGUGGAUAUUGAUGAUUUUGCCAUGAGAUUUGAGUAGUUUCUUUAUAGUGAUUUCAUGUAUUACAUGAUUUUCUCAAUAGGAGUUGAUUUUAGAAGAUAUACUAACUACAUCAUUCUACUUCAUUGUUGGUUUUUUUUUCUUGUGUCUCUCUUAUUUUUUUUUAAAUUUGGAGGAUAGUGGUUUUGCUUGAAAUGUCUUUUUGGUUUUAAUGGUUAAUUACAAGUUUUGCUGAUACAAUCUCUAUGACUUAUAUAGUAGGUAGUGUUCUUUUUUUAAACAAUAACUUCAAUGAUUAAUCGACUAAAAUUUGAGCAAUUAAUCUAAUUUUGCCAUGUCUUUUCAGUCAAGUUGUGUAACUAAUAUAUUUUGAUCAUUCAUAAUUGCUGAUUUUGAAUUUCCUUAGGAAUGUACAAUUUUUUAUUUACCAGACAUUUCAUUCUACGAUGGUUGGAUAGUUGACCUACAAGUAUGAGUUGUUGAACUUAUAGCAGUUUUUUUUAUAUAAUUUAAAUCUGCAUUAGGUGUAAUUUGGUAAAACAAAGAGCAAUUUUCAUUAGUUUGAUUUAGGAUAGAUUAAAACCUAAAAAGUGAGUUUAGAUAUCAAGUUGUUGUUUUGUUAACCAUUUCAGUGUAUUUAGUAACAAUUCUAUUGCUCGAUUAGGUAUAGUGAAAAUCUAGCAACUAAAGUUAAAAAGGUGAAACUUAUUCUCUAUUAAUUUUCUAGGGGUAAUUAUUCUUCCAUGUUGGACAUAUCUUCUCCUGAAUUGCAGGGGAAUGAGCUAUGAACAUUUUGAUAUGUGAAUGAAAUUUUGUGUUUGUUGUCUGUUGGUUUUGUAUAAAACUGAAAUAUUUUGAUAUGUGAAUGGAAUUUGGAACAUGAAAAAUCAUGUGAAUUAGUGCUUGUUAUGGUCUUGCACACACUUUAUAUUGUGAGACUGAUCUUUUUUUAGGCAGAGUGAUGGGGUUCUUUAUUUUUUAAGGUGGAUGUGUGAGGUCAACAACUAAGUAAGGUUGUAUAUAAGUAGUGUUUGUUUCCAAAAGUAGCGUAGUUUUUGAAAAAUUUGUGCAUAAGUAGUGUAUACAUAUAGGGGUGGCAAUUUCUGAUACAACUCGAAAACACGACACGAUCUAACACGAAAUUAAUGGGUUUGGGUUGAGGUUUCGGGGGUCGGUCCAGGUCAAAAUCGGGUCGAACCCGAAAAAAAAAUAGGUCGAUUUCGGGUCAACCCGUGGGUGACCUGAUAUGACCCGAUAUGACCCGUUUACGAAUUAAAAUAACUUAAUAAACAUAAAAAUUAUUUUAUCUAACUAAAUUAAGUUAUUGUUUUUUUUCAAAGGCAUUAAUUACUUAAUCCUAAAUGAAUUUAUUUAACUUGUGUGAAGUUGAAAUUAUUAUAUUUGAACAAAUAAUAUAUUAUAUUAUUUUUUACUGUUAUACUGUUUUAAUUUAUUUUAUAUUUGAUUUGGGAUAAAACACUUUUACGGUGUUUAAUUUAAUUUAGAUUUGGUUUGGAAUUAUUUAUUUAAAUUUUUAUUACUUGAUUAUGUAAUUAAUUUUGUGAGAAAUUGAUUUUAUUAGAAAUUACAGUAAUAAAUUAAUAAAUUAAAAUUAAGUUUCGGGUCAUUUCGGGUCGACCCGCUAACCCGCCAACUCGAAUUUUUUGGGUUCGUGUCAGGUAUCCUGACCCGUUUCGUUCGUUGGUGGAUCAGGUUCGGGUCCGUGGAUUUUCUGUUAUACCCGGGUCUCAAUCCGAUCAGCCAAUCCGAACUUGACCCAAUUGGCACCCCUAUAUACAUACUAAGAAUAGAUAGUAUUAUGUUGAAUGGAAUUUGGAUUAUGAAAAAUGAUGUGAAUUAGUGCUUGUUAUGGUAUUGUGCACACUUUAUAUUGUGAGACUGAUCUUUUUUAGACAGAGUGAUAGGGUUCUUUUUUUUCAGGUGGAUGGUGGAGGUUAGCAACUCAGUAAGGUUGUAUAUAAGUAGUGUUUGUUUCCAAAAAUGGCGUAAUUUUUGAAAAAAUUUGUGAAUAAGUAGUGUAUACAUACUAGGAAUAGAUUGGUUAUGCUAUUAGUAUUCUGUAAUUAGUAUUUUGUGUCUAUUGAAGAGAUAUUUCCUGUUUAGGCUCUGUGAAUGUUUUGGCCUUUGGCAAUGGAGUUAAGAGAUAAAUUGGUUUAGUUGCUUUUCAUGUUUAUGAAGUUUGAAAUAUGAGGUGCUUCAGGAUUGUUUUUGUAAUGUAUUUUUUGUUUGAUUGUUCAUACUCUUGUAGUUUAUGCUUAUGUUUCUAUUUUCAUUGCUCCAGAAUAUCGGACUAAGUGAUCUUGUGUUAGCUAUUCAUCUGGUUUGAUUAGGAAUGUGACUCACUAUUGAAUUGAUUAAUGGGUUUGGAUUUUGACUGUGAAUAACUAGGAAUACAUUGAUUGUUCAUACUUAUGCAGUUUAUAACUAUGCUUCUGAUUUUUGUUGCCGAAUGGUGAAUUGAGUGAUUAUCUGGUUGAAUAGCUAAGAAGAAGGAAUAUGUUGUACUAUGUUAGGCAUUCAUGCUAUCUGAUUGGAAUGCAGCCCAAUGUUAAAUUGAUUAUUGCAGUCUUUUUAUUUUGUUUAGCCUUUUUUGUAGAGAACAAUUUCAUUAGACGUUAUUCGUUAAUGUGUAUUGUAUAGUAGUUAUGAUUGUUAAAUGACUUGACGCUUUGUUUCCAUUCUAUGCUAACAUGUUUUAUGGGUGUUUCCAUUCCUUUCUUUCCAUUCCUCUCUCUUUGUUAUUCUAAUCGUCCUUGGUUUAGUUUUUCUUUUGCUUCCUCAUUUCUUUGUAUUGUGCAGUAGUUAUGAUUGUUAAACGACUCAAUACUUUCUUUCCAUUCUAUGCUAACAUAUUUUGUGGGUGUUUCCAUUCCUUUUUUUCAUUCCUCUCUCUCUCUCUGUUAUUCUAAUCAUCCCUGUUUUUAGUUUUUCCUUUGCUUCCUCAUUUCUUCCACGCCAUCAUCUUCUUUCUUCCUCGCUGUCAUCUUUCUCACCAUUGCAUUUGCACUCUAGUAAUCUCUUUUCUUCCUCACCGUUGCAUUUGCUCUUAUGUCAUAUUUCUCUUUUUGUUUUUUUGUUUUUCUUUUGUUUUCUUUUUCUCUUUUUUGUUCCUCGCAUUUGUAUUUUUUUUUGCUUGCUCGACUGCAAUAUGGCUAGAAAAUUGCUGGGCUAAUAUUUUGAACUCUGACUGCAUUGAAUUGAACUUAGGUUUUGAUUUGUGGUUUUAAAGCUUGAAGAAUAGGUGACUUAGUGGUUCAAUUCUUUAAUCCUCUUUUCUUUUCUUUCUCCACUGGAUUUGGACUGAUUUAGUCGUUGGUUUCUAUAGUGGUUCAUGUAUUUUUUUUCUGAGUUAAUAUCUUGGGCUACUAUAGUUGGUUGGUUUCUAUAUUUUUCGUGAUUACUGCUACUAUUUUCCUAUUAUGACAAUUAUGUUAUUCUUUUUAAUUUUUGGAGGUUGGAUGAGCUUGUCAUGUGGGGUUUCAAAGGUCUUUUUCCUGAUUUGCUAUGGUUUUGUGCAUGAUUUGCAUUGUGGGAUUGGUCUUUUUAGGCAGAUUGAUAAUUAUUUUUUCCUCUAAAAGAGAUUUUUCCUGAUUUAGUCUCUGUGAAUGUUCUGGUUUUUUGAGAAUGGAGCUAAAAAGAUUGAUUAGUUUGGGCUACUUUUCAUGUUUAUGAAUUUUUAAAACAUGAGGUAUUUCAGGAUUGUUUUCGUAAUGUGGUCUUUGUUUGAUUGUUCAUACUUAUGUAGCUUAUGCUUAUGUCUCUAUUUUCAUUGCUCCAGAAUGUUAGACUAAGUGAUCAUGUUUCAGGCAUUCAUCUGCUUUGAUUAGGGAUGCAACUCACUGUUAAAUUGAUUAUUGUAAGACAACCAAGGGUUUGGAUUUUGACUAUGAAUAAAUAGUAUGUGCAGACUAGGAAUUUAUUGUUUAUUCAUACUUAUGUAGUUUAUGACUAUACUUAUGAUUUUUUGCUGCAGAAUGUUGAAUUGAGUGCUCAUGUGGCUAGGUGGCAAAGAGAAAGGAAUUUGUUGUUCUGUGUUAGGCAUUCAUGUCAUUUGAUUAUGAGUGCAGCUCAAUGUUCUAGCGAAUGGUUUCAUUAGACAUUUUUAGUUAAUGUGUAUUAUGUAGUUAUCAUUGUUAAAGGACUCAAACAUAGAAAAUAUGUAGUAGCUAGGUUGUAGAUUAAUAUUUACUCAAUUGCUAUUUUAGUUUGUAUAUGGCUUACUUUUUUAUAUGUAUUUAUGGAUCAUGAUGUUAUGUACACUUUUUUUCUAUUCUCUGCAAUUAGUGGUUUUCUUUGAACAUAUUUUGUUCUACUUGAUUAGCUAAAUGUUUGUGUUUCAACAUUGGUUGAAUAAUGGUAGGGGUACAAUGUG
rnacentral:lncRNA from 1 species